UCGACUGUUUUACAAAAACAUAGCUUACAGUAAAUUAUUGUAGGUGGGACUUGGUCAAUGGAAAAUUUUUUUAAAAAUUUUUUUAAUUCAAGCCUUAGCCUGAGGGUAUUAAAGUAGCAUAAUCAUUUGGUAUUUAAUUGGUGCCUGGUAUGAAUAGUGAAACGAUUGUAAUAUUGUCUCAAACCAUUUAAAUGAAAUUUAAUUGAUAGUUAAGAUGCUAUCUAUUUUAAGAAAGACGAAAAGUCCCUAUAAACCUUUACUAAAUUCUAUUAUUUUUAUUAAUGAUAGAUAAAUAGUUUAACUGGGGCAGUUAUACCUUAAACUAAAAGGUGUUAAGUUUAUAUUUUUAAUAAUAAAUAGUAUAUUAUUUUAUGAAAUUAAUACUCUAAGAAGAAACAGAACUUAUAAAUAAAAUAUAUUUAUAAUUUACAAGAUAAAAGGUACUUUAGGGAUAACAGCGUAGUUUCUAGAAAGAGUAUGAAAUCAAUCUGGAAGAUCGCGACCUCGAUGUUGAAUAAGGAAUUCCUUUAAGUGCAAGGGCUUAAAAAGGUUAGUUUGUUCAACUAUUAAAAUCUUACAUGAUUUGAGUUUCAUUCCGUA
rnacentral:rRNA from 1 species